rnacentral:siRNA from 1 species
UCUUUGUUUCGGUAAUACCGGAAA